rnacentral:ncRNA from 1 species
ACUGCUAUCGGAAGGCAGCACUGAACAUGCAGAAGUCAGCAGAGGUCAUAGUAGCUGUUGUUUUUUCAGCAAAGG